UAUAAAAAAAAUCUGAGUUUGUUUCACAAUUCUCUCACAAUUCUGAGUUUGUUUUGCAAUGGUUUCUCACAUUUCUGAGUUUUUUUUUUUUAAAAAUUGCAAGUUUAUAGCGCAAUUCAGCAUUUUUAAAAAAUCCAGAGUUGGGAGAUAAAAUGUUGUCUGUUCCUUUAGUGUUGUGGAACACGUGAUAACCGCCCGCGCAGCUGCACGCAAACUCCCAUAAUUCCUCGCUCUCCUUCAGGAAGUCCCCCGCAGCCGCGUGUUUUUCUCCGAGCGCGUCACCGCACGUGGUCAGGACGACGGUGAAACCAAGCGCUCGCGGUCCGAAUGCAGCACUUAUCCAGUCCAGAGCGGCGCUGCGCCCACAGGAACAGGAGAAACGCGUGUGGUCUGGGCACACUAAGCUCCACGCGCAACUCAUCCGGGCUCAGACAGGUGUGGAAGAACCCUGGGGUGUCAGUCACACACAGGCUCCGCCCAUCUACCACGCCCUCUGAUCGAUGGCAGCGUUUGGUCACGGACACGGUGUCCUGACAUUUUAUCCUACUCUGUCAGAUUUUCCUACUUUCCUACUUUUCCAGAUUUUUACUGCGCACGCGCACAUCAAUAUCGCGUCCUUUGUCUCAUGCUAAACAACGAUAUUUAAUGUAUCUGCAUUACUGUAAGGGUAGGUUUAGGGUUGGGGUAGGUGUAGACUUUAAUAAAAACACAAUCUAAUUGGUAGAAAAUAAUAUUUAUUGUUGGUUUCCUGUAGCUCUAUCUCUUCUAGCUACAACCGCGAAUAUAACACAUAAUUACUGUAUUUGCAGUACUGUAAGGGUAUGAUUAGGGUUGUGGUAGGUGUAGACGUUAAUAAACCAUAACUUUACAGUAGAAUUUUUCGUCGUGGAAUUGUACUACCCAUUGUUUUAGUGGGAGGUAUGAAAAUCUGACAGCGUAGGACAAAUCGACAGAACAACGGGCGACCCAGAAUCGUGUUUCCAGAUGAACUCCGGCCUGAACCCGUCUGACCCCUCGGAGGAACCGCCUGAACACACGAAACGGCAGUCUUUGUCUCCUGUGUCUCGAGUGGUUGUCAAGAUGACUCCAUUAAACGGACACAUUCUCAUCUCAUCUCCCACCACACCGGCGAAAAAUGACAAUAAACUUUUGUCUUGCUCACACACACAUUCAAACUCGAACUGCGAUGUCUCUACUGGAACUGUUUCUUUUUUCAUUUCUCCAGACAGUAGCUGA
rnacentral:lncRNA from 1 species